rnacentral:rRNA from 1 species
GAUUGAACGCUGGCGGCAUGCCUUACACAUGCAAGUCGAACGGCAGCACGGGAGCAAUCCUGGUGGCGAGUGGCGAACGGGUGAGUAAUAUAUCGGAACGUGCCCAGUCGUGGGGGAUAACGUAGCGAAAGCUACGCUAAUACCGCAUACGAUCUAUGGAUGAAAGCGGGGGAUCGCAAGACCUCGCGCGAUUGGAGCGGCCGAUAUCAGAUUAGGUAGUUGGUGAGGUAAAGGCUCACCAAGCCGACGAUCUGUAGCUGGUCUGAGAGGACGACCAGCCACACUGGGACUGAGACACGGCCCAGACUCCUACGGGAGGUCAGCAGUGGGGAAUUUUGGACAAUGGGCGCAAGCCUGAUCCAGCAAUGCCGCGUGCAGGAUGAAGGCCUUCGGGUUGUAAACUGCUUUUGUACGGAACGAAACGGUGAGCUCUAAUACAGUUUGCUAAUGACGGUACCGUAAGAAUAAGCACCGGCUAACUACGUG